UUUUCCUCCAUUUGAGUGUAUCAGUGUUUCAUGGAGGUGGUAACUGAUGAGAUAGGAUGGCUUGAUUUUUAUGGUUCAUAUGUUCAAAUAAAUUGCAAGGAGAAAAGGUCUAAACAUAAUGCUCGCCAGGCAGAGAAAGAGAUAAUUUCUUCUGUAGUGUUUACUGUGUGCUAUGAUGUUUUCUCUGGAUUUGCACACUUCAAUCGCUAAACUCAACAAUCAUUGGACACAGCUUCGCGCUCAUACUUGCUUCGUUGUCAGGGUUUGUUAAGUAUUUGUCUGCAAUAUCACUGGGCUGCUUAUGACAAUUCAGGUGAAUCACUAAAUACUGCGGAUCAUGCUGCAUUUGACAACCAUACAUCAUAUAUGGGAAGUAUAAAUGGACCCAAGUUACCUCUGGUGUUUGAAGUGCAG